UACGGAGGUCUCAAGCGUUGUUCGGAUUCAUUGGGCGUAAAGGGUGUGUAGGUGGCGCGCUAAGUCGGGUGUGAAAUUUCGGAGCUUAACUCCGAAACUGCAUUCGAUACUGCGGUGCUUGAGGACUGGAGAGGAGACUGGAAUUCAUGGUGUAGCAGUGAAAUGCGUAGAGAUCAUGAGGAAGACCAGUGGCGAAGGCGGGUCUCUGGACAGUUCCUGACACUGAGACACGAAGGCCAGGGGAGCAAACGGG
rnacentral:rRNA from 1 species